UGCAACAGCAUCCGAUGGGGGGAUAAGCCAUUGGUGGUGGAGGACAAGGUUCUGGAACCUUUGGUGGUGGUGGUGGUGGUGGUUCUUUUGGUUUCUCAGGUUCCUUAGGCUUUUCGGGUUCUUUCGGCUUUUCGGGUUGUUUCGGUUUCUCGGGUUCUUUGGGUUUUUCGGGUUCUUUCGGCUUUUCGGGUUGUUUAGGUUUCUCGGGUUCUUUGGGUUUUUCGGGUUCUUUUGGUUUUUCUGGUGCUUUAGGCUUUUCGGGUUCUUUUGGUUUUUCUGGUACUUUAGGCUUCUCAGGUUCUUUGGGUUUUUCAGGUUCUUUGGGCUUUUCGGGUUCUUUAGGCUUCUCAGGCUCCUUGGGUUUGGGAGGAGGAGGUGGAGGUUUGAUCUCAAUGCUCUUGAUUGAUCCAGCACCCUUGCAACAUAUCUUGUCCCUCAGCUUCUCAG
rnacentral:lncRNA from 1 species